GAUGAACGCUGGCGGCGUGCCUAAUACAUGCAAGUCGAGCGAACAGACGAGGAGCUUGCUCCUCUGACGUUAGCGGCGGACGGGUGAGUAACACGUGGAUAACCUACCUAUAAGACUGGGAUAACUUCGGGAAACCGGAGCUAAUACCGGAUAAUAUAUUGAACCGCAUGGUUCAAUAGUGAAAGACGGUUUUGCUGUCACUUAUAGAUGGAUCCGCGCCGCAUUAGCUAGUUGGUAAGGUAACGGCUUACCAAGGCAACGAUGCGUAGCCGACGUGAGAGAGUGAUCGGCCACACUGGAGCGGAGACACGGUCCAGACUCCUGCGGGAGGGAGCAGUAGGGAAUCUUCCGCAAUGGGCGGAAGCCUGACGGAGCAACGCCGCGUGAGUGAUGAAGGUCUUCGGAUCGUAAAACUCUGUUAUUAGGGAAGAACAAAUGUGUAAGUAACUAUGCACGUCUUGACGGUACCUAAUCAGAAAGCCACGGCUAACUACGUG
rnacentral:rRNA from 1 species